GCAGCAGCCACGGUAAUACGUAGGUGGCAAGCGUUGUCCGGAAUUAUUGGGCGUAAAGGGCUCGCAGGCGGUUUCUUAAGUCUGAUGUGAAAGCCCCCGGCUCAACCGGGGAGGGUCAUUGGAAACUGGGAAACUUGAGUGCAGAAGAGGAGAGUGGAAUUCCACGUGUAGCGGUGAAAUGCGUAGAGAUGUGGAGGAACACCAGUGGCGAAGGCGACUCUCUGGUCUGUAACUGACGCUGAGGAGCGAAAGCGUGGGGAGCGAACAGGAUUAGAUACCCCCGUAGUCCCUGUCUCUUAUAU
rnacentral:rRNA from 1 species